rnacentral:rRNA from 1 species
GGUAGACUAGAGUACUGGAGAGGUGGGCGGAACUACNAGUGUNGAGGUGGAAUUCGUAGAUAUUUGUAGGAAUGCCSAUGGASAAGUCMGCUCACUGGACAGAUACUGACGCUUAAGCGCGAAAGCSUGGGGAGCAAACAGGAUUARAUACCCUGGUAGUCCACSCCGUAAACNAUGAUCACUAGGUGUUGGGAGUCAAAUCUCANCGCCCAAGCUAACGCGAUAAGUGAUCCGCCUGGGGAGUACG